UUAAAAUAGAAAGCCCUAGCCUCCACGGAGUUUUCUCCUUCUUCUUCUUCUUCAACCCCAGCCGCCACCCCCCCAUUGGAUUUUUCUCCUCCGGCAACCGGUGAUACCAGCGGCGACUUGACAGCACACAGCGGCGGCGGCGGCGGCGCGGCUUCAACCUCAUAUGUUGUCGUUCCAGCGGCGGCGCUAUGCUUUGGCAGCAGUUCGCGAAUGAAUCGUGCGGUGUUUCAAUGGUCUAGUCCCCAUGACGGCAUCGACGGCGGCGUCUGCAUGCGGGAGCUCCGACUUCAGUUUGAUUCCGACCCGGUCGGAGGUGGUGCGCGACCUCGCUGCAGCGGCGGCGCUGCCUCCACAAGCCAGAUAUGGCGGUCACCCUACCGCAGCCGCGGUGUUGGCUCAGAUCCGGCGACCCGAGCUUGAAUUUGUGAUGCUCAGCCCCGAUUCAUGAUGAUUCCUUUGUUCCGGUGACUUUCAGUGUUGACCCAUAACCAAAUGAAGCCCGAUUCACGAUACCCACCCUUGUAUGAAGUCAAUUUGCGAUACCCGCUCCCGACGACAUCUUUUCGACGCUUACCCACCCUUGUACAAAGCUUGAUUAUUGAUACCCACUGGUGUUCGAAGCCAAAUCCAUGAUACCCAACCCUUUCGGCAUCCUUUCGACACUUGCCGACACUAAAACGAAGGUUGAUUUGAGUUACCCAUUCCUUUUCAGCGUAGGACCAGCAAGCCCGAGACUUUUUGAACUCAGUUUUGAAGUGCCGAGCUUAUUCGACAACGACCCACUCCUAACCCAAGAGUUUUUAAUGGAAUACUUCGGCGAGCUUAGUAGUGUUAUGGUCAUUUACUUUGUAGGUAAAGGGUUACUCUUUGGAAUGGUGGUGGCGAGGAGGAGGCUUGAUCGGAAAGACCAUUAGCUGUGCUGCAUGCAUCUAAUUCUUUUAGUUAGGAUAGUUGAAAUUAUUUCAUCUUGUAGUUGUGUUGUUAAUGGGUGGUUUUGUUUAGUUUUAUGGUUUAGAGGAUAUUUUAAGGUGGCCAAUUCAUUAUUCUUUUUAGAACAUUAAUUUUGUUAGCUUCUUGAACUCUGGGACUGUAAUCUUCUUAGGAUACUUAUGAAUACAUUUGUUUAAGUUGAUCGAA